rnacentral:rRNA from 1 species
UACGGAAGGCAGCAGUGGGGAAUAUUGCACAAUGGGCGCAAGCCUGAUGCAGCCAUGCCGCGUGUAUGAAAAAGGCCUUCGGGUUGUAAAGUACUUUCAGUCGUGAGGAAGGUGUUAAGGUUAAUAACCUUAGCAAUUGACGUUAGCGACAGAAGAAGCACCGGCUAACUCCGUGCCAGCAGCCGCGGUAAUACGGAGGGUGCGAGCGUUAAUCGGAAUUACUGGGCGUAAAGGGCACGCAGGCGGUUAAUUAAGUUGGAUGUGAAAUCCCCGGGCUUAACCUGGGAAUGGCAUUCAAGCUGGUUAGCUAGAGUCUUGUAGAGGGGGGUAGAAUUCCAUGUGUAGCGGUGAAAUGCGUAGAGAUGUGGAGGAAUACCGGUGGCGAAGGCGGCCCCUGGACAAAGACUGACGCUCAUGUGCGAAAGCGUGGGGAGCAAACAGGGAUUAGAUACC